GUUCCUAUGGAAACAGUCCUUUAUGUGAUCAUGCUUGGCUGUGUCUCCUGUACUUCUCCAAUAACUUCUGAAGCUGUUGGGUAGUUUCCACCAAAUCUAUCUCAAAUAUAAUUAAGUUAUUUCAUGAAAAUAGUCAGCCGGUAGAGCUGAGAGAUCCUGUAAAUGUCCCAAAGGCUGCAACACAAACUUACCUUUUAUUAAACAGUGAUUCAUGUGGAUGAGAGACUGCAUAAAUGUCUCAGUAAUGACAAAAGUUUCAAUUACAGUUCAUUAUGGGUCUCAGUAUAAAUCUGUGGGAAACCAGAAUUCUUGGGCUCAUGUUCUCCCAGAAUAACUUGUUUAAUGUCCUCCAGUCAGAGGUAGGUGCAAGUGGAAGGGGUAUAUGAAGAGGGAAAGAGAUAAAUGAGAAAUUACAAACGUCUGUAUUUUGCAAGUCAUUUCAUCUGCUUUGUUGUGUGGGCCUGGCCGUAAAGCUUGGUAUGACAGGGGCUUCACAAAACUGAGAUUAAAGGGGGGGAAAAAAAAAGUAGAAAGUACACAUAGAAAUACAAGAUCCAUUAGGACAGACAGCUGAAGAUGAGAAGGAAACUGAAGGCACUUGGAAUGGGAAGGUGCGGAGAGGUUUUCACAGUGGGGCAGAGAUUACGGCAAUGGUAUCUUCUUCUGAAUUCUUCUCUGAGGAGAGCCCUGCUGCUGCUAGGAGCAAGCUGUCUGGUUUUACAAAAGUCAGAAGAGAUGGUACUUGGAAAGAAAGUAAGAGAUUAUAGACCAGUAGCUGCACUGUCAGAGCAAGUGUCCCAGCAUGUGGCUAAGUGGGCAAGUUUUCAGCUUUUCUUCUUGGCCCCUAAGGAGCCUGAAAAUAGCUGUGUGACUCUCCAAGAUCUUUUUGUUAGUCCUUUCUGUUGGGUUUCAACCCAGAAGGGCAUGAGCCAGUCCCAAGUGUGAAUAUAAUAGUGUCAAAUACAAGGGAUUUCCUAUGGGUAAUAGUAACAACGGCAUAUAAUGAAACACGUUCACCAAAUACAACACAAAUGCCUUUUAUUAUUUUUUUAAAUCUGAGCCUGUAAACACAGAAGCCUGUAAGUCACUAUACUUUGGGGAGUAAAGCUGAACCCAUAAGUAAGAUGAAGUGUGAGACGUUGGUAAAUACAUGUAUGUUGUAGCUGGAA
rnacentral:lncRNA from 1 species